rnacentral:rRNA from 1 species
UACGGAGGGGGCUAGCGUUGUUCGGAAUUACUGGGCGUAAAGCGCACGUAGGCGGACUGUUAAGUCGGGGGUGAAAUCCUGGGGCUCAACUUCGGGUCGGCCACUGAUACUGCUGGGCUUGAGUCGACUAGAGGCAGAUGGAAUUCCGGGUGUAGCGGUGGAAUGCGUAGAGAUCCGGAAGAACACCGGUGGCGAAGGCGGUCUGCUGGGGUCGAACUGACGCUGAGGCGCGACAGCGUGGGGAGCAAACAGG